rnacentral:rRNA from 1 species
AGUGUACGCUGGCGGUAGGCCUAACACAUGCAAGUCGAACGGCAGCACAGGAGAGCUUGCUCUCUGGGUGGCGAGUGGCGGACGGGUGAGGAAUACAUCGGAAUCUACUCUGUCGUGGGGGAUAACGUAGGGAAACUUACGCUAAUACCGCAUACGACCUACGGGUGAAAGCAGGGGAUCUUCGGACCUUGCGCGAUUGAAUGAGCCGAUGUCGGAUUAGCUAGUUGGCGGGGUAAAGGCCCACCAAGGCGACGAUCCGUAGCUGGUCUGAGAGGAUGAUCAGCCACACUGGAACGGAGAGACGGUCCAGACUCCUACGGGAGGCAGCAGUGGGGAAUAUUGGACAAUGGGCGCAAGCCUGAUCCAGCCAUACCGCGUGGGUGAAGAAGGCCUUCGGGUUGUAAAGCCCUUUUGUUGGGAAAGAAAUCCAGCUGGCUAAUACCCGGUUGGGAUGACGGUACCCAAAGAAUAAGCACCGGCUAACUUCGUGCCAGCCGCCGCAGUAA